rnacentral:rRNA from 1 species
AUUGAACGCUGGCGGCAUGCUUUACACAUGCAAGUCGAACGGUAACAGGCCUUCGGGUGCUGACGAGUGGCGGACGGGUGCGUAAUGCAUCGGAACGUGCCCCGAGGUGGGGGAUAACGCAGCGCAAGCUGUGCUAAUACCGCAUGUGAUCUGAGGUUGAAAGCGGGGGACCACGCAGCAAUGUUUGGCCUCGCGCGUCUGGAGCGGCCGAUGUCAGAUUAGGUAGUUGGUUGGGUAAAGGCCUACCAAGCCGACGAUCCGUAGCUGGUCUGAGAGGACGAUCAGCCACACUGGGACUGAGACACGGCCCAGACUCCUACGGGAGGCAGCAGUGGGGAAUUUUGGACAAUGGGCGCAAGCCUGAUCCAGCAAUGCCGCGUGAGGGAAGAAGGUCUUCGGGUUGUAAACCGCUUUUGUACGGAACGAAAAGGCUCUGGCUAAUACCUGGGGCUGAUGACGGUACCGUAAGAAUAAGCACCGGCUAACUACGUG